rnacentral:rRNA from 1 species
UACGUAGGGGGCGAGCGUUGUCCGGAAUCAUUGGGCGUAAAGAGCGCGUAGGCGGCCCGACAAGUCCGCUGUGAAAGUCAGGGGCUCAACCCUUGAAUGCCGGUGGAUACUGUCGGGCUAGAGUCCGGAAGAGGCGAGUGGAAUUCCUGGUGUAGCGGUGAAAUGCGCAGAUAUCAGGAGGAACACCGAUGGCGAAGGCAGCUCGCUGGGACGGUACUGACGCUGAGGCGCGAAAGCGUGGAGAGCAAACAGG